rfam:Nematostella vectensis strain CH2 x CH6 NEMVEscaffold_560_Cont30048, whole genome shotgun sequence.
ACAAGGAUGGCCGAGUGGUUAAGGCGUUGGACUUAAGUUCAAAUGUACGGAUGUACGCGUGGGUUCGAACCCCACUCCUGGUA